UACGGAGGGGGCAAGCGUUGUUCGGAAUUACUGGGCGUAAAGGGCUCGUAGGCGGCCAACUAAGUCGGACGUGAAAUCCCUCGGCUUAACCGGGGAACUGCGUCCGAUACUGGAUGGCUUGAGUUUGGGAGAGGGAUGCGGAAUUCCAGGUGUAGCGGUGAAAUGCGUAGAUAUCUGGAGGAACACCGGUGGCGAAGGCGGCAUCCUGGACCAACACUGACGCUGAGGAGCGAAAAGCCAGGGGAGCAAACGGG
rnacentral:rRNA from 1 species